rnacentral:scRNA from 1 species
UUGUCUUGAAUGGAUUGCUAAUCUGAUAGGCG